rnacentral:rRNA from 1 species
AUACGUAGGGAGCGAGCGUUGUCCGGAAUUACUGGGUGUAAAGGGCGUGUAGGCGGGCUGUCAAGUCAGAUGUGAAAUUCCCGGGCUUAACCUGGGCGCUGCAUUUGAAACUGAUGGUCUUGAGUGCUGGAGAGGAAAGCGGAAUUCCUAGUGUAGCGGUGAAAUGCGUAGAUAUUGGGAAGAACACCAGUGGCGAAGGCGACUUACUGGGCCGUAACUGACGUUGAUGCGCG